ACAGGGAUUGCCCUAGUAACGGCGAGUGAAGCGGCAACAGCUCAAAUUUGAAAUCUGGCUUCGGCCCGAGUUGUAAUUUGUAGAGGAUGCUUUGGGCGCGGCCCCGUCUGAGUGCCCUGGAACGGGACGCCACAGAGGGUGAGAGCCCCGUAUAGACGGAAGCCAAGCCUGUGUAAAGCUCCUUCGACGAGUCGAGUAGUUUGGGAAUGCUGCUCAAAAUGGGAGGUAAAUUUCUUCUAAAGCUAAAUACCGGCCAGAGACCGAUAGCGCACAAGUAGAGUGAUCGAAAGAUGAAAAGCACUUUGAAAAGAGGGUUAAAUAGCACGUGAAAUUGUUGAAAGGGAAGCGCUUGUGACCAGACUUGCGCCGGGCUGAUCAUCCGGAGUUCUCUCCGGUGCACUCUGCCCGGCUCAGGCCAGCAUCGGUUCUCGCGGGGGGAUAAAGGCCUCGGGAACGUAGCUCCUCCGGGAGUGUUAUAGCCCGGGGCGUAAUGCCCUCGCGGGGACCGAGGUUCGCGCAUCUGCAAGGAUGCUGGCGUAAUGGUCACCAGCGACCCGUCUUGAAACACGGACCAAGGAGUCAAGGUUUUGCGCGAGUGUUUGGGUGUAAAACCCGCACGCGUAAUGAAAGUGAACGUAGGUGAGAGCUUCGGCGCAUCAUCGACCGAUCCUGAUGUAUUCGGAUGGAUUUGAGUAGGAGCGUUAAGCCUUGGACCCGAAAGAUGGUGAACUAUGCUUGGAUAGGGUGAAGCCAGAGGAAACUCUGGUGGAGGCUCGCAGCGGUUCUGACGUGCAAAUCGAUCGUCAAAUCUGAGCAUGGGGCGAAAGACUAAUCGA
rnacentral:rRNA from 1 species